UACGGGGGGGGGCAAGCGUUGUUCGGAAUUACUGGGCGUAAAGGGCUCGUAGGCGGCCAACUAAGUCGGAUGUGAAAUCCCCAGGCUUAACCUGGGAACUGCAUCCGAUACUGGUUGGCUUGAAUCCGGGAGAGGGAUGCGGAAUUCCAGGUGUAGCGGUGAAAUGCGUAGAUAUCUGGAGGAACACCAAAGGCGAAGGCAGUGUCCUGGGGAGUACCUGACGCUCAGGUGCGAAAGCCAGGGGAGCGAACGGG
rnacentral:rRNA from 1 species